ACGGAAGGCAGCAGUGGGGAAUAUUGCACAAUGGGGGAAACCCUGAUGCAGCGACGCCGCGUGAGUGAAGAAGUAUUUCGGUAUGUAAAGCUCUAUCAGCAGGGAAGAAAAUGACGGUACCUGACUAAGAAGCACCGGCUAAAUACGUGCCAGCAGCCGCGGUAAUACGUAUGGUGCAAGCGUUAUCCGGAUUUACUGGGUGUAAAGGGAGCGCAGGUGGCGGUGCAAGCCAGAAGUGAAAGCCCGGGGCUCAACCCCGGUACUGCUUUUGGAACUGUACCGCUCAGAGUGCAGGAGGGGCAGGCGGAAUUCCUGGUGUAGCGGUGAAAUGCGUAGAUAUCAGGAGGAACACCGGUGGCGAAGGCGGCCUGCUGGACUGUAACUGACACUGAGGCUCGAAAGCGUGGGGAGCAAACAGGAUUAGAUACCCUGGUA
rnacentral:rRNA from 1 species